rnacentral:lncRNA from 1 species
AUCCAACGGCAGCAGUAGUCCUUCCAUAUUUCCACCAAAGGGGUCAUCUAGAAAUGAUGCUGAAGGAAGCAAUGGAAUAGCUGGUUCAAGCAAAGAAAAAACAAGGUUGCCAUCUGUUCCCUCAGAGAAAAUCCCCCAUCUGGAAACUGCAGGUCUUCUUUCUGUUGUAGAUCAUGAACGAGUUGGUCAGCAGACUAGGGAUGCAGAGUUACAAAAAAAUCAUGAGAAGAAGCCAGUUACUGAUGAAUUGGAGAGUGUUGUAAAGUUCAAACAGGCAGAGGCAAAGAUGUACCAAGAACGUGCUGAUGAUGCAAGAAGAGAAGCUGAGAACCUAAAACGCAUAGCAAUAGCGAAGAAUGUUAAGAUUGAGGAAGAUUAUGCUAGUCGAAUUGCAAAAUUGCGAUUGGUUGAGGCGGAGGAAAGGCGUAGACAAAAGCUUAAAGAAUUACAAGUUAUUGAAAGGGCACACCUUGAGUACUUCAAUAUGAAAAUGAGGAUGGAAGCUGAUAUAAAGGAUCUAUUGUUGAAAAUGGAAGCUGCAAAGCGUAACUUCAAUGCAUGAGGGGGUCUUAAAACAAGAGUUCUCAAUGCUGGGCAUCCAUAUCACAUUCCUGCGUUUGUAGGACAGCCACAUAAAUAGACAUUUCAUAUGAAAGUUGUAAGUUUUAGGUUUUUCUGCCCCGCAUGUAUCACCCUCUUCAUGUUGUUAAAUUUGUAUGGUGUAAAAUUAGCUUCUUAGUGUACAAUUUUUCCUAUUUCAUCUUUUGUCUAGCUAACUGGAUUCUGUACAGUGACAUGCUCGACCUCUGCGUGUGAUCAUUGGUUUCCUUUAUGACAAAAGGAAAUAGGUUCUCAUUUAUCUUAUAAUUUAUCAAUCAUGUGUUUUUCCUUUUUUUUUUUUUACCCAGAUGACCAGCCAACCAGGCUUAUAAAUAUGGUUGCACCUCUUUUAGUCAGAUUGAUUUUUCAAGAGUUUCCCAUUUUCUCUUCCAGAGAAUACUGCUGAAUGGUCAUGCUUCGCAGAAUUCACUUAAUUCUUUGAACAGGCAACAUCAGUUGAAGUCCGAUGGCCUCUCAAGGCAGCCAAGUCUUCCAAGACAGUUGUCCCCUACACAGAGUCACGGCUCUCACGAUACUAGGUCAGAACACAGUAAGGACAAGAGGGUGCUCACAAGAGAGAGAAGCAGCAGUAGCCUUUUUAAGAGUGAGCAACAGGAUGGUGAACUGCUUGCCCUUAAUGGUUCUGGUGUCAUUGAGAGCAUUGUCUCCAAAAUUGUGGCAGAACCUUUACAUCUAAUGGGCAGGAUGCUUCAAGGAAUGACGGUGCACUCCAUAGCAUACCUGAAGGAAACCAUUUGUGAGAUGAUUGCUAGUGCAGAUAAAAGUGGGCAAAUACAUGCAUUUCAGGAGGCACUUAAGAGGAGGUCUGACAUGACUAUGGAAACACUGUCCAAAUGCCCUCGUGUUCUUCUGGAGAUCUUGGUAGCUAUAAAAACAGGUCUUCCAGAUUUCAUUCAGAGGGCAAAUAACAUCUCAUCAUCUGAUUUUGUUGAGAUAUUUUUAAAUAUGAAGUGCUGCAAUCUUGCUUGCCAGAGUAUUUUGCCUGUUGAUGAUUGUGACUGCAAAGUUUGUUUACAGAAGAAUGGUUUCUGCAGCGCAUGCAUGUGUCUUGUGUGCUCCAAGUUUGACAAUGCAGCUAAUACUUGUAGCUGGGUGGGCUGUGAUAUCUGCCUCCACUGGUGCCACACAGAAUGUGGGUUGCGUGAUUCUCAUAUUAGGAAUGGGCGAAGUUCUACAGGAGCACAAGAGAUGACUGAGAUGCAGUUUCACUGUCUUGCUUGUGGUCAUCGUUCUGAGAUGUUUGGAUUUGUGAAGGAAGUUUUUAAAACCUGUGCCAAGGACUGGAAAGUAGAAACUCUUGCUAAGGAACUUCAGUAUGUGAAGAGUAUCUUUACUACGAGCAAUGAUGUGAGGGGUAAAAAAUUGCAUGAUGUAGCUGAGCAGAUGCUGAUGAGACUAGAAGAUAAAGCCAAUCAUUCCAAAGUUAUCAAUUAUGUAAUGUCAUUUCUUUCUGGUAAGCUAUUGACUAUCUGCAACAUAAAAUCUUGGGCUUAUUGCAAUUUACCAUAUUCCACUAAUGCCCAGGCAUAUAUAAUGUUUAUUUGCUUGGUAUCUUGUAUGGGGGUAGGUCUUGGUGCAAUGGUAAGGUUGCUCCAUUGUGAUAUGGGUUCACGGGUUCUAACAUAAAAAUGACCUCUCCAUAUGCGAGGGUAAGGCUGCGUAUAUUUGUCUCUCUCCAGAGCUUGUAGUGGUUGGAGCUUGUGCAUUUUUGAACACCCUCUUUUUUCUCUUCUUUUCUUUUCUUUUUUUUAUGUGCUUCGUGUCUUUUAUAUAUGUUCAUUCAUCUCUACUGUUGUCUGGUUUCUGGCCUUCUUGUGCGGUACUUCUGCAUGUAUUGUAGUUGUUAAACAGCAUGACAAUCUGGAAGUUCCCACUAGGUCAAUAUUCUGGUUGUUAGCACUGGUGAAACUCGUCUUGUUGGUAGUUUUCAUUGCUUGUCCACCAAUGUCAGGUUUUAAUGACAAGAUCCUCUCUUGCCAAAGAUAUCUAGGUCAUAAAUCAGUAGUAUUCGUCAAGUUCAAAGUAUCACUUCUAUGGAUCUUACUCUGAUAAUCAAAGCUGUCUUGGGUAAGGCCUCGAAGUUCAAGUUUUAAGAUAAUGUUUGAAGUAUUGCAGCUCCUUAGUUAUUCAUGUCGAUAGAGUUGUAACUGAGGACAGCCAUACUUGUGGUAUGCUUCAAAACUCAUUCAUGUUAGUAUCUUUUGUUCUUUCUAAAUCUUAGGAAUUUUGGAGGCUUUCUUCUUAGUUACAAAGAUUGAGGUGUAUAACCAGAUAGUUAGGUCUUAUACUUGUUAAUUGGCCUUUUAAGUUUCAUGGAAAUCUCCUUUCUUGUCUAAAUAGUCAUGUUGGCCAACUCCAAAAUAGUAUCUCCUCUAUUGUUUGUAUCUCUAAAAUUGUAACCUCCAUGUGCCCUUUCAAAACUUAUACCAUAUUUUCCUACAUGCCCAUUCAAAUCUCUUCCAUUAAGUAUGUUUUCUCCACUAGAAAUCAUUUGAAUUUGUUAUCCAUGUUCUCCCAAAAGUGCUACUUGAGGAGCGUAAGCACUAAUUAUUAAUAGAUUCCUCUUCUAACACUAAUUUUAUUAAGACUAUUUUGUCUCCUACUAUCUUAAUGUCUAUAACCUUAUCUUUUAACUAUAAUCUAUAAUAAAUUCUUUUCUAUUUUUAUUCCUAUCUUUCUCUGUAUAUCAAAGUUUAUCACCCAUCUUACCAACUUGUUUUUGUUUUUCCUUAUAUCUUCUGUCUUUUGCAGUAAGCUAUGUUAACUCUCCUCCUAGUCAUUGUAUUUACUAGCUUUAUCAACUAUCCUAUCAACGACCUUGUAUUCUAAGUUGCUAAAUGUAUCCGACUUUCCUGGACUAACUUCUUUGUCCACACCGUUGCAUAAAAGUAUGAGAACUCUUGCCUACUUCUGAAUAUACCUGGGCAGCAAUGUGGUGUAUCGCUGCUGCAGAACACCCUAGUUAACCAUUGCCCAUUUUUCACUACAAUUCAAGGUGGAAUGCAGUAACAGAUUUCUUAGGAUUCUGUUUAUGAUUCUGUUUAUAUGAUGUGACUAUAAUUUUAUGUUGACCGUCAACCUACCACAACCUUCCUCCUUUAUCUGGGCAUGGGGCCAGCUAUGUACAAAAACAUAGGUACAGUUAUUUAUAGUUUUGGUGUUAUAGGUCCAACUUAACUCAACUAAGCCUUAAUCCCAAACUAGUUGGGGUUGGCUACAUGAAUUCUUUUCCUUCACGCNNNNNNNNNNNNNNNNNNNNNNNNNNNNNNNNNNNNNNNNNNNNNNNNNNNNNNNNNNNNNNNNNNNNNNNNNNNNNNNNNNNNNACACACACACACACACCUACAUCACACUCAUACACAUACACAUACAUCACACACACACACACAUACAUACACACACAUACAUACAUAUACAUUCAAACCAUCUGAGUCAUCCUCUCAAUUUAUCUUUGGUGCUAGCUCCACCUUUUGAGGCUAAAAUCCUAAGAUUAUUAAAUUAUUGCAAUAUUUUAGAAAGCGAUGAAAGUGUUAAAGAAUUAUAAUACAUGCCAAUUCUUUGGUUAUAAGAUAAUUAUCAAACACCUAAUAAUAUGAGUAUCUAUAUAAUUAAAUACAAUAACAUAAAACAAUAAAUUAGUAUGAAUUUGUUAUCAUCAUAUCAAGUACCGAAUACCAGCAUAUACCUGAUGACCUGCAAAGUAUGGAGAUCAAAUAUAUCAUCUAAAGCUUAUAAGUUAUAAUAUUUAUGCCAUGAAAAUCGAACCUUAAAUCUAACAAGUCUACUGCUCAAGGGGAUGUACUACAUUCACCUCAUUUCUCCUUUUUAUCCUAGAAGCUUUUAAUGAUCCAAAAUGUCUCUUCCAUUAAGAAAAACUAACCUUCAAUUGAGCUGUUUAAACUAACUCUUUCAAAAAAUCGUCUAAUCUCUCAAAUACUUUCAACUCUUUAAAAGAUACAUAAGGAACCAUGUUUAAUCUUGAGAAAACACUCCUCAAGGGCUUGCUUUACCAUCCAUGAGCAAGUAUUCCCUCUUUAAACACAAAAAUAAAUGGAUAACACUCCUCAAGGGCUUGCUUUACCAUCCAUGAGCAAGUAUUCCCUCUUUAAACACAAAAAUAAAUGGAUAAUGAUCCAAAAUCGUAACUAUUUAAGUAAGUGUAUUUAAAGAAAUGAACUAGCCUUUAUCCUCCUCCCCCCCAAAAAAAGUGAAAUGUAGUGAAAGAAAUAUCCUAGUCCCUCCCCCCCCCCAACAAAAAAAAAAAAUACUAAACAAGAAAAAGGAGAAAUGUACCGGUGAAUAAUAUCUUGUAAAAAUACCAUCCAUCAUUGGCUUAUACUUCUCAAAGACCAUAUUUACAAUCCAUGAGUAAGUGUAUCCUCUUUAAACUCAAACAUAAACGAAAAAUGAUCCAAAAUUUUGACACUUUAACUAACUAUUAUGUUCAAAGAAAUGUACUGAUGACCAAAGCAUCUGUAAUCAGUUUAAGUCAGAUUUGGCCAAAAUAGGUCAAAACCACCAAAAUUAUUGGUACCGACCAAAACCUCCAAAACCUAUUGAAACUGAAUUUCCAAUAUUCUGGUCUCAAUUUCAGUAGAAACUUCUGCUUAUCAGUCCAACUAGAUUGGUUUCAUUUGAACUUCAAACUCUGGUCAAACCAUACUUAUGAUCAAGUGCUGACUGCAAGUACCUUGUGUUUGAUUGAACGAUAUGGUUAUUGUAGACAAUAGGAUGACUAGAUAUCACUGGAAGAUUUAGUUAUGUGUAAGCAAAUCUCUGAUCUCCGAUUAAGUACUGUAUUAUAAUAUCCAACAUGAGGAUCUUGGCUAGGUUCAAAAUCAUCGAGGGAUAAGUCUUGGUUGCUACACAAAAAAAUGAUCCACCUUUUGUGCGACUGCCACAUCCACAAAGUGCACUUCAUGUUCAAGCAAUUUCUUUUUCUUUGAGGAUUCUUUAUUUCUUAGUAUUCAGAAUCUUUUAUCCAGUGUGCUCAACCCAAAUUUUCUUGGUGUACUGCUUUUGCAGAGCUUCCUCGGUUCUUCCUCAAGUUUUUUUGUAAAGCUACUUUUUCAGGCCCUUAUCUUAAUCAGCUCCUGCAGCCUCUCCUUUCUCAAAUAGCUAAAGCCUUUUCCUUCCAAACAUCUUAAUCAACAGGUGAAAAAUAGGAUUGCCAAACAUGGCAUGUUUUUGCUUUCCAACAUGAAAACAAGUUUUUGUUGGAAAGAUUGAUGUUGCUAAUUGUGGCUAGUUACCGCACCCUGUCAUUGAAGAAAGUUGUUUACCUGUUGAUAUUCACGUUUCGUUGAGCAUUCUUUAUAGUUGUUAAUAUUGAUCAAUUGAGCAGAAACUUGAGGAUGUAAUCACUCAGUUGGGAUAGUUUGGCAGUGUCUUUAUGUGAGAAUAUGAUCCACAUGAAAUGAUUUAUUUGAACAGGCGCUGUUAUUUCACAUUGUCUGUAUAGAUGGGUGUGAACGCAGGAACAAGUAGGUAGGGACAUGUGUUUGUGUUUGCAUGAUGGAUAAGUAUGCUUAUUUAUGCAUGCAUGCAUUGCAUGCUUGUGUGCGCAUGAUUGGAUGGAUCACCCACGAUAUGUUGGUAUACUCUUAGAGUUGACCCUUUUUAUGUAGUAAUAAGUGCAAAUGACUGGUAGAAAUUGGCGGUGCCAUCAAGGUUUAAUAAUUUUAAAUGUCAAAUAGUGCCAUGUCUGAGUGUCAAUUUUGAUAAGAAAUAUGAAUGGUGGGUCUUGCUUCUUUUCACUUUUUGGAUUUUAGUUUCAUUUUCACCUACUUGGUUCAAUGUCGAUUAAGUAUGAUCAUGUUCCUCUACAGCAGCUAUACUUGAUCAGUUUUGCACUUUGCUCUAAAGUGGCACCCUUUUAUUGAACAAUGGAGACCUCAUCAUCCAAUCAUGAGAAUUUACUGUGAACAUAAAUUGACCGCUAUGAAAUCUAUAGUAUGUUUACAAAUCCAUCAUGACUGUAUUAUAAUGGUGUAUUUUUGAACUAAUGUUUUUGUGAAGAGAAAACAUAACCAUUCUGAAUUGUUAUUUUUAUAUUUCAGAUAGUGAAUCCAACGGCAGCAGUAGUCCUUCCAUAUUUCCACCAAAGGGGUCAUCUAGAAAUGAUGCUGAAGGAAGCAAUGGAAUAGCUGGUUCAAGCAAAGAAAAAACAAGGUUGCCAUCUGUUCCCUCAGAGAAAAUCCCCCAUCUGGAAACUGCAGGUCUUCUUUCUGUUGUAGAUCAUGAACGAGUUGGUCAGCAGACUAGGGAUGCAGAGUUACAAAAAAAUCAUGAGAAGAAGCCAGUUACUGAUGAAUUGGAGAGUGUUGUAAAGUUCAAACAGGCAGAGGCAAAGAUGUACCAAGAACGUGCUGAUGAUGCAAGAAGAGAAGCUGAGAACCUAAAACGCAUAGCAAUAGCGAAGAAUGUUAAGAUUGAGGAAGAUUAUGCUAGUCGAAUUGCAAAAUUGCGAUUGGUUGAGGCGGAGGAAAGGCGUAGACAAAAGCUUAAAGAAUUACAAGUUAUUGAAAGGGCACACCUUGAGUACUUCAAUAUGAAAAUGAGGAUGGAAGCUGAUAUAAAGGAUCUAUUGUUGAAAAUGGAAGCUGCAAAGCGUAACUUCAAUGCAUGAGGGGGUC